AUUGAACGCUGGCGGCAGGCCUAACACAUGCAAGUCGAGCGGCAGCGGAAAGUAGCUUGCUACUUUGCCGGCGAGCGGCGGACGGGUGAGUAAUGUCUGGGAAACUGCCUGAUGGAGGGGGAUAACUACUGGAAACGGUAGCUAAUACCGCAUGACCUCGAAAGAGCAAAGUGGGGGAUCUUCGGACCUCACGCCAUCGGAUGUGCCCAGAUGGGAUUAGCUAGUAGGUGAGGUAAUGGCUCACCUAGGCGACGAUCCCUAGCUGGUCUGAGAGGAUGACCAGCCACACUGGAACUGAGACACGGUCCAGACUCCUACGGGAGGCAGCAGUGGGGAAUAUUGCACAAUGGGCGCAAGCCUGAUGCAGCCAUGCCGCGUGUGUGAAGAAGGCCUUAGGGUUGUAAAGCACUUUCAGCGAGGAGGAAGGCACCAUACUUAAUACGUGUGGUGAUUGACGUUACUCGCAGAAGAAGCACCGGCUAACUCCGUGCUAGCAGCCGCGGUAAUACGGAGGGUGCAAGCGUUAAUCGGAAUUACUGGGCGUAAAGCGCACGCAGGCGGUUUGUUAAGUCAGAUGUGAAAUCCCCGCGCUUAACGUGGGAACUGCAUUUGAAACUGGCAAGCUAGAGUCUUGUAGAGGGGGGUAGAAUUCCAGGUGUAGCGGUGAAAUGCGUAGAGAUCUGGAGGAAUACCGGUGGCGAAGGCGGCCCCCUGGACAAAGACUGACGCUCAGGUGCGAAAGCGUGGGGAGCAAACAGG
rnacentral:rRNA from 1 species